GCUCUGGUGGAUUAGUGGCGAACGGGUGAGUAACACGUGAGUAACCUGCCCUUGACUCUGGAAUAAGCGUUGGAAACGACGUCUAAUACCGGAUACGAGCUUCCGCCGCAUGGUGAGGAGCUGGAAAGAAUUUCGGUCAAGGAUGGACUCGCGGCCUAUCAGGUAGUUGGUGAGGUAAUGGCUCACCAAGCCUACGACGGGUAGCCGGCCUGAGAGGGUGACCGGCCACACUGGAACUGAGACACGGUCCAGACUCCUACGGGAGGCAGCAGUGGGGAAUAUUGCACAAUGGGCGCAAGCCUGAUGCAGCAACGCCGCGUGAGGGACGACGGCCUUCGGGUUGUAAACCUCUUUUAGUAGGGAAGAAGCGAAAGUGACGGUACCUGCAGAAAAAGCACCGGCUAACUACGUGCCAGCAGCCGCGGUAAUACGUAGGGUGCAAGCGUUAUCCGGAAUUAUUGGGCGUAAAGAGCUCGUAGGCGGUUUGUCGCGUCUGCUGUGAAAACUGGGGGCUCAACCCCCAGCCUGCAGUGGGUACGGGCAGACUAGAGUGCGGUAGGGGAGAUUGGAAUUCCUGGUGUAGCGGUGGAAUGCGCAGAUAUCAGGAGGAACACCGAUGGCGAAGGCAGAUCUCUGGGCCGUAACUGACGCUGAGGAGCGAAAGCAUGGGGAGCGAACAG
rnacentral:rRNA from 1 species